rnacentral:lncRNA from 1 species
AAGAACACAUGCAUGGCUUCAUACUAACGAGCAUCCAUGAUCGGAUUUACACAUAAGCUAAACUCUCAAGGCAAGAUUUAAACCUAAACUCAGUUAACUCUUUCUCAACAUCAAUAGGAACAAACUAUAAGAGAUUAAGCAACAUCCCAAAUCCUUAAGAAAGCACAAGUUUGUUAUUACAGCAUGUUAUGAACAUAGGAUAACUAAAGUAGCACACAUAGUCCAAGGUUUGUUACAGGAUACAAAAGAAAUAGAAGAAACAGAUGAAAUAAAUAAAAAUUAAUCACAAAAAGACUUGUAUUCAAUCAGGCUUCAGCUCAUCAUACAUGUUCCCAGACACUUUGUUGACAAAGGUUUGGAUAAUACCUGAAUAAGAAAAACAAACAAGAGAAAUUGCCUGAGGUUAGGAUGAACCAACAGUAGUAUGUUAGCAAUACCAACAAAACCAAUCAACAACAAUACUCAAUCUUUCUAAACCACUUGGAAUCGAGAAAGAACCAAAAAUUUUUGAAAGGCUUUAAUGCAUGAAGAUAAACAGCAGAACCAAGCCAACUUCCACAUAAAUGUAAGAGACUUUUUUUAUCCCUCCAAAUCUAUGAAACAGUAAAUGUAUGCCACUCUUUUUCUGGAUUUUCAGCUCUUAAAAAUCUUUUAUCCCUCAAUGGAACAAUAUUUUCAGCUAUAUUUUGUUUUCAUAAUUGCUUCUUUCUUCAAGUCUCUCUAAAAGCCUCUUUUCGGAAUUUCAUUGCUCAAAAAACCUACCUUCUAAGGCAAGAAAGGUUAUCUUUAUAGGCAAGCAAACUAUGGUAACUCUUAGAUUUUAUUUUUCAUUUUAAGUCCUUUUAAUUUUCACUUGUUGCUUACCAAUCCUUAAUAUCCUGACUUGUUACCAAGUUAUACCAUCUAAAACCCUGAAAUUCAAAUUAGAACCCCCAACUAGAAGCUUCCCAAUUCUGUUAUUAAAGAUUCCCUAGCUAAUUUACCUAAACUACCUUUGCUUACCCUAAAGACCAACUUGGGUCCUUUAGUCUUAAUUGCCCAACCCAAAACCUAAAAUAAUUUUCGAACCAAAAACAAAAAGAAGAAGAAAAAUAAGAACUAUUUAAUAAAACAGGCUAAUAGCUAAACCUAAUCGGAACAGCAUAAACCCCUAUACUCAUGAAAUUAACUUCUGAUAAAACACAAAACUGAUUGUUAACGAUUAAAGUCUAAUCAUGCAAUUUAAAUGUAAAACACAAUAACUAAACCUUCCACAUAAUUGAAAUUGAAGAAUAAACUGAGAUUUAGACCUAAUCAUGAUUGUUCAUGCAAAUUUCCACUAUGAAAAUCCAGUUAAACUCGGACAAACAAACAAGAGAAAUAAGAAGUAAGAAACAGAAGGAAAGAAAAAGGGAAACCAAUCACAUAAAAAUCAGAAGUUAAUAAAGAAAUAAAAUGGGACUCAAGACUCGCCAGAAAUGGGAAUAAAGGAGGGUACGGUAGGGCUUUGUACAAUUUUGAAGCUGUUUGGAGAGGCUUGGUUCUGGACUGUGUCUUUCGAUUUAAUACUCGAGAAUAUAUAGGGGUGUUUGAAAGAUGUUGAGUGCAGAUUUGGCACGAGGGGGGACGUGGGUCAUUUGGUGUUAAUUUGGGGUGAUUUGGUGGUGGUGCUGCCUGUCCGGCGGAGGAGCCCAUAUUUAUGGCUAAACUUCGAGAGGCUAGGGUGGGAUUUGAGGGAUGGUGGUUGCAGAUUUGGGUAGAGGAGAGGGAGGUAAAUCAAUAGUGUAAUUUUGGGGGUGAUUGGAGUUCCGCCGCCGGCGAAGGUGAUUUCCGGCCGGCGGUGCACGGUAGUGAACAGCAGAAUUAUGGUGCUCUGGGGUUUCUAGUGAGAGAGGUUAGAG